UUCCUACGGGGGGCAGCAGUGAGGAAUAUUGGUCAAUGGCCGGAAGGCUGAACCAGCCAAGCCGCGUGAAGGACGAAGGUGCCAAGCAUUGUAAACUUCUUUUGUCAAGGGACAAAAUCAGGCUCGAGAGCCUGACCGAGGGUACUUGAAGAAAAAGCAUCGGCUAACUCCGUGCCAGCAGCCGCGGUAAUACGGAGGGCGCGAGCGUUAAUCGGAAUUACUGGGCGUAAAGCGCGCGUAGGCUGUUGUGUAAGUUGGGGGUGAAAUCCCACGGCUCAACCGUGGAACAGCCCUUGAUACUGCGG
rnacentral:rRNA from 1 species